rfam:Tupaia chinensis contig33900, whole genome shotgun sequence.
CUUCGCUGUUGUGUCUCGGUCAGUUCUUUGUUCGGGACACUGAGGACCUGGGAGGACACUGAGGACCUGGGAAG